UACGUAGGGCGCAAGCGUUAUCCGGAAUUAUUGGGCGUAAAGAGCUCGUAGGCGGUUUGUUGCGUCUGCCGUGAAAGUUCGGGGCUCAACUCCGGAUCUGCGGUGGGUACGGGCAGACUAGAGUGAUGUAGGGGAGACUGGAAUUCCUGGUGUAGCGGUGAAAUGCGCAGAUAUCAGGGGGAACACCGAUGGCGAAGGCGGGUCUCUGGGCAUUAACUGACGCUGAGGAGCGAAAGCAUGGGGAGCGAACAGG
rnacentral:rRNA from 1 species